rnacentral:tRNA from 1 species
GGACUGGGGCUCAGUGGUAGAGCGCUUGCCUAGCAGGCGUGAGGCACUGGGUUUGAUUCUCAGCACCA